rnacentral:rRNA from 1 species
GACGAACGCUGGCGGCGUGCCUAACACAUGCAAGUCGAACGGAGAUGAUGGGAUAGCUUGCUAUUUAAUCAUCUUAGUGGCGGACGGGUGAGUAACACGUGGGCAACCUGCCCCAAAGAGGGGGAUAACACCGAGAAAUCGGUGCUAAUACCGCAUAACAUUAGAGCUUCGCAUGGAGCUUUAAUCAAAGGAGCAAUCCGCUUUGGGAUGGGCCCGCGUCUGAUUAGCUAGUUGGUGAGGUAACGGCUCACCAAGGCGACGAUCAGUAGCCGAUCUGAGAGGAUGACCGGCCACACUGGAACUGAGACACGGUCCAGACUCCUACGGGAGGCAGCAGUGGGGAAUAUUGCACAAUGGGGAAACCCUGAUGCAGCAACGCCGCGUGGAGGAAGAAGGUCUUCGGAUUGUAAACUCCUGUCUUCUGGACGAAUAAUGACGGUACCAGAGGAGGAAGCACGGCUAACUACGUGCCAGCAGCCGCGGUAAA